rnacentral:rRNA from 1 species
UACAGAGGUCCCAAGCGUUGUUCGGAUUCACUGGGCGUAAAGGGUGCGUAGGUGGUCGGGUAAGUCUGAUGUGAAAUCUCCGAGCUUAACUCGGAAAUGGCAUUGGAUACUAUUCGGCUGGAGGUUUGGAGGGGGGACUGGAAUUCUCGGUGUAGCAGUGAAAUGCGUAGAUAUCAGGAGGAACACCGGCGGUGUAGACGGCUCCCUGGACCGUAACUGACGCUGAGACACGAAAGCGUGGGUAGCAAACAGG